rnacentral:rRNA from 1 species
GACGAACGCUGGCGGCGUGCUUAACACAUGCAAGUCGAACGGAAAGGCCCUGCUUGCAGGGUGCUCGAGUGGCGAACGGGUGAGUAACACGUGGGUGAUCUGCCCCUUACUUUGGGAUAAGCCUGGGAAACUGGGUCUAAUACUGGAUAGGACCAUGCUGUAGGUGGUGUGGUGGAAAGAUUAGUUUCGGUAAGGGAUGAGCUCGCGGCCUAUCAGCUUGUUGGUGGGGUAAUGGCCUACCAAGGCGUCGACGGGUAGCCGGCCUGAGAGGGUGGACGGCCACAUUGGGACUGAGAGACGGCGCAGACUCCUACGGGAGGCAGCAGUGGGGAAUAUUGCACAAUGGGCGCAAGCCUGAUGCAGCGACGCCGCGUGGGGGAUGACGGCCUUCGGGUUGUAAACUCCUUUCAGCCAUGACGAAGCCCUUGUGGUGACGGUAGUGGUAGAAGAAGCACCGGCUAACUACGUG